UACAGAGGUCUCAAGCGUUGUUCGGAUUCAUUGGCGUAAAGGGUGCGUAGGUGGCGCCGUAAGUCAGAUGUGAAAUUUCGGAGCUUAACUCCGAAACUGCAUUUGAUACUGCGGUGCUUGAGGACUGGAGAGGAGACUGGAAUUUACGGUGUAGCAGUGAAAUGCGUAGAGAUCGUAAGGAAGACCAGUGGCGAAGGCGGGUCUCUGGACAGUUCCUGACACUGAGGCACGAAGGCCAGGGGAGCAAACGGG
rnacentral:rRNA from 1 species